rnacentral:rRNA from 1 species
ACUCCUACGGGAGGCAGCAGUGGGGAAUAUUGGACAAUGGGGGGAACCCGUGAUCCAGCCAUGCCGCGUGUGUGAAGAAGGCCUUUUGGUUGUAAAGCACUUUAAGCGAGGAGGAGGCAUUGACCUGGUUAAUAUCCAUGGGAUAAGUGGACGUUACUCGCAGAAUAAGCACCGGCUAACUCUGUGCCAGCAGCCGCGGUAAUACAGAGGGUGCAAGCGUUAAUCGGAUUUACUGGGCGU